GUCACACUCUUUAUCACUCUCUGC
rnacentral:siRNA from 1 species